rnacentral:rRNA from 1 species
CUACCUGCAGUCGACGGCAGCACAGAGGAGCUUGCUCCUUGGGUGGCGAGUGGCGGACGGGUGAGGAAUGCAUCGGAAUCUGCCUAUUUGUGGGGGAUAACGUAGGGAAACUUACGCUAAUACCGCAUACGUCCUACGGGAGAAAGUGGGGGACCUUCGGGCCUCACGCAGAUAGAUGAGCCGAUGCCGGAUUAGCUAGUUGGCGGGGUAAAGGCCCACCAAGGCGACGAUCCGUAGCUGGUCUGAGAGGAUGAUCAGCCACACUGGAACUGAGACACGGUCCAGACUCCUACGGGAGGCAGCAGUGGGGAAUAUUGGACAAUGGGCGCAAGCCUGAUCCAGCCAUGCCGCGUGUGUGAAGAAGGCCUUCGGGUUGUAAAGCACUUUUGUCCGGAAAGAAAAGCGCUCGAUUAAUACUCGGGUGUUAUGACGGUACCGGAAGAAUAAGCACCGGCUAACUUCGUGCCAGCAGCCGCGGUAAUACGAAGGGUGCAAGCGUUACUCGAAAUUACUGGGCGUAAAGCGUGCGUAGGUGGUUUGUUAAGUCUGAUGUGAAAGCCCUGGGCUCAACCUGGGAACUGCAUUGGAAACUGGCUUACUAGAGUGCGGUAGAGGGGUGUGGAAUUCCCGGUGUAGCAGUGAAAUGCGUAGAUAUCGGGAGGAACAUCUGUGGCGAAGGCGACACCCUGGACCAGCACUGACACUGAGGCACGAAAGCGUGGGGAGCAAACAGGAUUAGAUACCCUGGUAGUCCACGCCCUAAACGAUGCGAACUGGAUGUUGGGGGCAACUUGGCCCUCAGUAUCGAAGCUAACGCGUUAAGUUCGCCGCCUGGGAAGUACGGUCGCAAA